UACGAAGGGGGCUAGCGUUGCUCGGAAUUACUGGGCGUAAAGCGCACGUAGGCGGUCUUUUAAGUCGGGGGUGAAAUCCUGGAGCUCAACUCCAGAACUGCCUUUGAUACUGGAGAGCUUGAGUCCGGAAGAGGUGAGUGGAACUCCGAGUGUAGAGGUGAAAUUCGUAGAUAUUCGGAAGAACACCAGUGGCGAAGGCGGCUCACUGGUCCGGUACUGACGCUGAGGUGCGAAAGCGUGGGGAGCAAACAGG
rnacentral:rRNA from 1 species